GAGUUUGAUCUUGGCUCAGGAUGAACGCUGGCGGCGUGCCUAAUACAUGCAAGUCGAGCGAACGGACGAGAAGCUUGCUUCUCUGAUGUUAGCGGCGGACGGGUGAGUAACACGUGGAUAACCUACCUAUAAGACUGGGAUAACUUCGGGAAACCGGAGCUAAUACCGGAUGAUAUUUUGAACCGCAUGGUUCAAAAGUGAAAGACGGUCUUGCUGUCACUUAUAGAUGGAUCCGCGCUGCAUUAGCUAGUUGGUAAGGUAACGGCUUACCAAAGCAACGAUGCAUAGCCGACCUGAGAGGGUGAUCGGCCACACUGGAACUGAGACACGGUCCAGACUCCUACGGGAGGCAGCAGUAGGGAAUCUUCCGCAAUGGGCGAAAGCCUGACGGAGCAACGCCGCGUGAGUGAUGAAGGUCUUCGGAUCGUAAAACUCUGUUAUUAGGGAAGAACAUAUGUGUAAGUAACUGUGCACAUCUUGACGGUACCUAAUCAGAAAGCCACGGCUAACUACG
rnacentral:rRNA from 1 species